rnacentral:lncRNA from 1 species
AAACAUGUAGCAAAAGAGAAAGGGCUAGGCGCGAAAUUUCCCCAUUAAGGAUUGAUAUGCGUGAACUCCCAAACUAAACAGUGCCAUCAUUGCCCAGCUUUAAGUUUUAAAAAACAAAUUUUGGUCUUUCCCUUUGAAGCAGAAACUGCUUCUUUUGGGGUUUCCUAACCCUUUGGCCGCCGUUCAGCCCACGCCCCAAUUUCGUCGGAGGGGACACCAGCUCGACGACUCCGGCGAAAGGUAAGUCUCCCUUCUUCUUUCUUUUUCGUAUUUUAAGCGAAAAAAUAAAUAAAAAAAUGAAUCACUAAGAAUGAUGAACCGAAAAUGAUAAAAAAAACCUUUUUUAUUCCAAAAAUUAUCGGAUCUGCUCUUUCAAAUCAUUCUUUUUUCCUCUGUAUUCUCUUUUGUCCAAAAACCCCCAUUACAGAAUAAAAGUCGGCCUUAUAUAGCUCGAAAAAUCAAAUACCAGUGCCGUUUUUCCCUGUUUCUUUUCUUUUGGACUCUUUUGAGUCCGUGUUUGCAGGUGUACGUGCGCACAUAGGGAGGAUCGGCCCCGAGACGUGCGGCGCUUGGGACGUCUGCUGGAGGCGCAGAGGCUGCUGUGGCUAGGGCGCAUAGUGCUGCUAGGGUUUUCUUUUUUGCUUUUUAGUUUUGGGCUGAGGUCUGUAUUGUUUGUUGGUUUGGGCCUGAGUAUUAUAAUGUAAAAUGGGUAUUAGAUUGGGCCUGGGCACAUUUGGGUUUAUACAGCUGCCCCUCUUUGCUCAUUGUCGUGUAACGAGAAUAGAGCAAAGACUAACAGCCCAAUUGUGCCCAGCCUUGCUAAGCCUCGACUUCUUCAGUACUUUUCUUCCUCAGGUAGCCUCAUUCAUUCCUACUGCAUCUUCAGAGGUAUAGGAACUGGUGCUCCAAUCUGCCCCACUCUAAUUUCAGGGAGAUAGGAUUCAUACAUCGUAGCUUCUCAAAAGAACAAAAAUUGCUAUCUUUAAUCUGCCCCACUCUAAUGUCAGGGAGAUAGGAUUCAUACAUCGUAGCUUCUCAAAAGAACAAAAAUUGCUAUCUUUAAUCUGCUCCACUGCAACUUCAGGGAGAUAAGACUUAUAGCUUCAACUUGUCCUGCUACAACUUAAAAAAUAAAUCUGAUGCAAUCUACUGAAACUUCAAAGAGAUGAGAUCUGCGGUUUUAGUCCACUCCAUUGCAACUCCAAGGAGAUAGGAUUGGUUACUUCUGUCUGCUCCACUGCAACUUCAGGGAGAUAAGACUUGUUUCUUUGAUCUAAUUCACGCCAGUACAUGAAGACAAGAUAUGCUAUCUUUGAUCUACUCCACCACCAGUAUGGGGAGACAAGAUCUAUUUCUUUGAUCUACUUCACGCCAGUACAUGAAGACAAGAUCUGUUUUCUUUGAUCUACUCCACCACCAGUAUGGGGAGACAAGAUCUGUUUCUUUGAUCUACUUCACGCCAGUACAUGAAGACAAGAUCUGUUUUAUUUGAUCUACUUCGCCACCAGUAUGGGAAGACAAGAUCUGCUGCUUUUCAACCUACUCCACUAUUAGUCAGGGAGAUAAGGCUUUAUGAUUUCGUCGAUCUGCUCUCUGUGGAACAUGACCUAUAUGAUUCACUUUAUGAGCCUAAUUAUGCCUAAUGAUUAGGAUGUCAUGAUCAAAUGAAUCAAAUACUCCUAACUAGGCGUGUAUGAAUGACAUUUGAAUGAAUGCAGAAUGUCAUUUUUUCGAGAAUGAUCUCUCAUUUUCACUUAGGUUAUCAUUACUCAAAGUUUAUUUAAAGUUUCAUCGCUAAUGUGCUAUAGCACCCUCUUGCUCAGCUGGCGUCUCGAAAGAAACACUUGACCAGAUUGCCCCCCACUGUAAACCUCCAAGUUUGAUCUAUUGGGAUGCAAAAUUUAUACCAUCUUUCUCCCGUUGUAACCCAAGAGUAAAAAGAUUUGGUCUUUUCUCAAUCCUCUACUAUCACAAUUCAAGGAUGCAGGAUAUGAAACUCUUUGGUCCCUUACACCAUUCCCAGGGUGUCAUACCAAAUUCUCAUGCACAAAUGAAGAAUAUUCCUCUCCAAGAACAACUUCUUCUUAUUAUUCGGUGAUCAUUGCCUGCUUGUUCAUUGAAGCCUUGUCACCAACAUGACACAUUGCCAUUUUGUCCAAUCGAUGUUUUAGGCAACAAAAUUUAGAGGGAUAGUCUGAAUUUAGACUUUUCCUUAUUAGAUUUCCAACCUGGUGCGUUCUAAACAAUAGUCCUGUUUCAGGUUCCUGUAUUAUUUAGAAACUUCUAAAGUAAUAUGCAAAACUUCCCUUGUGAAAGUUUUAUUAGUCUAUUAACCAUUAUUCUAAUGCAACAUGCUUGCAAAAAGAUCAUGGAUAAGAAUAGAGUUGGCUCUGAGCAUAGCUCGAAAUGAAUAAAUUAUCAAGGAUAAUAAAGAUGGAUAACAAGGAAAUUGAUUUAGGAAUGCAUAUCUUGGAAAUGAAUGAAGUAUUCCAAGAAUAACAAAAAUAGUAUAAGGAUUAAGUGCCCCAGAUAUCGCAACCUGAACUUCUCUGUACAGACUUUCUGAAGACCAUUCUGACUUUAACAUGUGUUUAGGAGAUCUACAGUACUUUGUCGAUGCCCCCAAAAUGUCGCCUACCCUUUCCUGUUGAUUCAGGUAUAGCAAGACCACUGCAUGCCCCGCUCUGAUCAGUAUUUGAGCUGCUCUGAUUACUUCAUGCCCCAUUCUGAUCAAUAUUUGAGCCGCCCUUUUCGGGUUUUCAACUCAAAUCCCCUUUGGUCUAAGGCGCCUUUUGCGAGUUUUCACCUUAGCCUCUCCAUUUUUUAUUUUUUAUUUACUCAAGGCUCCCUUUGUAGGGUUUCACCCUGGUCUCUUUUUUUUUGACUCAAAGCGCCCUUUGUAGGCUUUCACCUUGGUCCCAUCUUUUUUAAGCAGAGUAUUUCCUGACUGAAUCUGAGUUUACAGGACUUUGUAAAUUUUUACCAUCCAUCUCACUCAAGAUCAAAGCUUCUCCAGAAAAGGCUUUCUUUAUAACAUAUGGACCCUUCUAAUUUGACCUCUAUCUUCCUCUAAAAUCUUUUUGUAUAGGAAGGAUCUUUUUCAACACUAGUUCCCUCUUGUGAAAUUCUUUGGGACGAACCUUCGGGUCUUCCUCUUAGGAUAAAAUGUAGAGAAAUGACAAUUCGACUUCAAUGAGUAAAGCUAUGAUAAGCCAAAGACGAGGAUAUUGCCCCAGCAAAGAAAGUUUACUGCAUCGUUCAUAGCAUCGAUGUUGAACCUACUGCCCAUUUCUGACAUCAUGCUGUUAUUCAGAUUACAAGCUAGUGCUUAACCCGAGCAUAUCUGGGUAUGACCAUGUGAAGACAUCAUUGAAUUCCUGGGGUAGCUCUAUAAGGUCCCGCCUCGUCUUUGUGAUCAUGUCAAUUCCAAUCUUCACCAAGCUCACAAUUUCUGAUAAUUCAUUAUGAUGUAGGAUCUGUCUAUCCUCUUAUUUCUAUCACCCUCCUCAAGUCUGAAGAUAAGCUACAAUCUAUGUCAUCUUCAAAGUCAUGAGAUCCCUCUAAACACAUGUCUCACUCAAAAGGAAAUUUUGAGUCUGUAGCAGCGUCACUCAUGACAUUGAUAUCUGGGGACCCAUAGUAGGUAUCCGAGAAUAUACAAAAGAAUGUAUGAAUAAUAUGAAUGAAUGGUUUGGCAGAAAAAUCCAAAAAAUGAAAAAAAUGUAAAGAAUGAAAGAACAUUUGCUCAAAGAUGAUUGCAAUAAUGCAUUUCAUUAAAAUAAUAAUGUUCAGACGUAAGCCUAUUUCACAAAGAAAUCCUUAUUGCUUCUAGGCUGAAAGCAACAAGUGUGUUCUGAACAUUACUCUAACAGACUCUAAAUACUUCAGGGGUUUCCUCCGUAGUCUCAUUAUUUAGAACACCUCUAAGGCAAAUAUCUAACAAGGACCCUUUAAAUUGUGUCUGCAUAUAUGGCAUCGAUGUGCAAAUUUCUCACCACUUCUUCAUACAUUGCAGUCCCUCAAUCCUCAAUCAUGAUUGGGUAGCGGAUUUCCUGCACUAGACGAGUCACCAAACUUGACAAUACCCAUAUUGAUAAGUCUUUCAACUUGCUUCUUGAAGGCAGUGCAAUUCUCAAUCGAGUGUCCCGUAAUUCCUGCAUGGUAUUCACAUUGUGUGUUCGCAUCAUACCAUUUGGGAUACGGAGGUUGUAGAGGCUUCACAGGAAAAGGGGAAACAACAUGUGCAUCAAACAGAUUUUGAUAUAGCUCCCUGUAUGACACCAGAAUUGGAGUGAAUUGGGGCCUCUCUGUGUUUUGUCUUAUACCAGCUUCCUGUUUUGAUGAACCGUGUUGGUUAGCAACCAUCUUUCUUGGCUGACUCAUAGUAACUGAUUUAGAGUAACCCAUGUUGUUUACCUCAUCUUCUCUUCUCCUUGAGACUGACCUCUUGUUACUCUCUCCAACAUCGAUCUUUCCACUUUUUAUGGCAUUUUCGAUCAUCUCGCCAUUCAUGAUUAUGUCGAGAAAGCUUUUUGUAGCACUCCCCAACAUAUGUGUAAUGAACGGUGCCUUCAGGGUGUUAAUGAACAACAUGGUCAUUUCUUUUUCCAGGAGCGGUGGCUGAACUUGGACUGCGACCUCCCUCCAUCUCUGCGCGUAUUGUCUAAAGCUUUCACUCGGCUUCUUCUCCAUAUUUUGAAGGGUGAUCCUAUCAGGAGCCAUGUCCGUCACAUGACUAUACUGUUUCAUGAAUGCUUGGGCCAAAUCCCUCCACGAACCAAUCGUGGUAUGACUCAGUUGAUUGUACCACUUAGAUGCUGCCCCUGCAAGGCUAUCCUGGAAACAAUGUAUCAAGAGCUGGUCACUAUUAACAUAUCCCGCCAUUCGUCUGCAGAACAUGGUGAUAUGAGCCUCUGGGCAACUUGUCCCAUUGUACUUUUCGAAUUCAGGCAUCUUAAACUUAUGAGGGAGUACUAAAUCCGGAACUAAACUCAGCUCUUUCGCGUCAAUGCCUCGAUAACUCUCAGUGACCUCCAUCGCCUUGAACUUCUCUUCGAGCCACUUGCAUCUUUCUUCUAAUUGUUUCGGUAGCUCCUUUUCCUUCUCAACCACUUCAUCGAAAUCAGGAAUGGCAGAUUUAAUAGGGUUAUUUUCAGGAUUAGAUCCCUGUCCAGCUUGAAAGCUCGAAACACCAUCCCGAGACUGCUGCGGCAUGAUGGUAACAGUAGAUUUGCGUGGGUAUUCGGCCUGAGUUCACACAUGUGGCGGGGUGAAACCUGGAGCAUAGGAAGGUUCAUCAUCAUCUCCCUCAUCGACAUUUGCCAUGGGGCCCUUUUCUUUAUCGAGUCCUUUAGCUAUCAGGCGGGUUAGUUUUGCCACUAUAUCUUCUUUUGACAUUGCUCGAGUUUUUCUAAUCUCUGAUCCAUAUCUUUCGUCUUUGCCCGAGUGCCGUAUCGGUGUUGGAUUGGUUGGUUGGUUUCCAGGUUAACUGAGCAAUGAUUUUAACUAUUUAGGAUCAUUUAGAGGUGUUUAAUGCCUGUAAUGUUGUGUAAUGCAAAUGCAUGAAGUGAAUGCAAAAAGAGACGUUGAUUCUUGGUUCAAUUCUAUUAGAACAACUUUACUAGAAAACAAAUCUCUUUACAUAAAGCAGAUAUAUAUACGAUUUUGCCCUUAUAGACGGAGUCAUUCGAUCCUCCUCUUCAUUCAAGUAUUAAGAUAAAUCUCACGAACUCUUCAAAAGAGAUGUCUAUUCUAUCUCCUGGGCUGUGACUCGUUGCUCCUUUAUCAUCGCGAUGCUCGUUGGCUUCCCUUUUUAAAAAAAGUUCAGCGGCUCUCGAAUAAUCUUCGUCAGCUUGAGUCCUCGGGCAACGGAGUAAUGAUUGUGUAGUCCUCCAUUAAACUACUAUCUUUCUCCUGUUGUGUUUUCUCGAAACAUAUUCGGGCAACCGUAUUAUUUUCCACUUUAUCAAGAAACCCAUUUCCUUAUGACAAGCUCUCUAUUUAACAACCGAACGUGAAUCAACACCUCUUUUUAUGAAAUGUCAUGCAAUCAUGAUGUCAUGCAAUCAAAACAAAAUAAAACCAAGUCAGUAUCACAUAUAAAGAUAUAAUCCAAUAUAACAUAACACUUAUUCGGGAAUCUACUAGGGUUUUAGAGUAGCUCUACCUAGGGCAAGUUCCUAAAGCUCACUAUAUGAGGUUUAGUUUCUAGAGUAAGGGUACUCGAACCAGCAGAUUCCUCGAUCCUCACCCAUUAUAGGCUCAUAUAGAUCGAGUUCAGUUCAGGGGGAUACAUUUCCCUAUGGCUACACGGAGAUGAAAAUCUCACGAAGACAUAGGUACGGAUGUAUCCCGGAAGCGAUCCACUACCCAGCAUGGAGGUGAAAACCUCACGAAGGACUAGUUUCUCGCUCCCACUUAAAGGGUAAAAUGCAAAAUGCAAAUGCAGAGUUGCCAACAUACCAAAACUCAAUGAAUACGAAGGGAACUCAUGAAUUUUUUUUAAAACACUUUUGAUUUUCGACACAAAGACAAAUAUAAUCAGUUUAUGGCUCGACUCUCUACGUCCCCAGCGGAGUCGCCAAGCUGUCGAAACCGUCUUUUUGAAAACAAAAAUUUGGUUGUCGACUUUUAAAAAUAACAUUUGGGUUUAUACAUUACCCUUAAUUCUCCAGACUUUCUUGCUGAUUUUAUGCCUUUGCCGUCCAGCCCAAAUAGACCUUGGGUCUAUUUUCCUUUUAAGUCCUCUUCCUUUUAUCAUUUAAGCUAUUUAAUCAUUUCCUAUAAUUUUGCAUUUGUUACAAUUUAGUCCUUUUUGUUCAAUUAAUUAUCGGAACUUUAAAAUUUCUUGACGAAAC